UACGAAGGGUGCAAGCGUUACUCGGAAUUACUGGGCGUAAAGCGCGCGUAGGCGGCUUGUUAAGUCAAAUGUGAAAUCCCCGAGCUUAACUUGGGCAUUGCAUUCGAUACUGGCAAGCUAGAGUAUGGGAGAGGAAGGUAGAAUUCCAGGUGUAGCGGUGAAAUGCGUAGAGAUCUGGAGGAAUACCGAUGGCGAAGGCAGCCUUCUGGCCUAAUACUGACGCUGAGGUGCGAAAGCAUGGGGAGCAAACAGG
rnacentral:rRNA from 1 species